GACGAACGCUGGCGGCGUGCUUAACACAUGCAAGUCGAACGGUAAGGCCCUUCGGGGUACACGAGUGGCGAACGGGUGAGUAACACGUGGGUGAUCUGCCCUGCACUUCGGGAUAAGCCUGGGAAACUGGGUCUAAUACCGGAUAGGACUCCGGACUGCAUGGUCUGGGGUGGAAAGCUUUUGCGGUGUGGGAUGGGCCCGCGGCCUAUCAGUUUGUUGGUGGGGUGAUGGCCUACCAAGGCGACGACGGGUAGCCGGCCUGAGAGGGUGACCGGCCACACUGGGACUGAGAUACGGCCCAGACUCCUACGGGAGGCAGCGGUGGGGAAUAUUGCACAAUGGGCGCAAGCCUGAUGCAGCGACGCCGCGUGAGGGAUGACGGCCUUCGGGUUGUAAACCUCUUUCAGCAUCGACGAAGCGAAAGUGACGGUAGGUGCAGAAGAAGGACCGGCCAACUACGUGCCAGCAGCCGCCGUAA
rnacentral:rRNA from 1 species